GGUUUAUACUGAUGCCUGGCGACUGAUUUUGAUAAAAGCAAGUAACAGAGAAAGAAAAAUAUUUCUUUCACCCUAGUCUGUCAUCACACCAGGAAAGUAUGCCCCUGGAUCCAUACCACUUAAAACCUUAUCCUGUUUGGUUGAGACUGGAGCACCUGACAGUGUGUGAACCAGGAGGACAGAACUCUCAUAAGCUUUUCAAACCACCAACCUUUAGGAAGUGCCUACUAUAGCGGGGACUCUCCUUCUUAGAACUGAGUUUUCCAUGUUGGAAACAACUUGGCAAACUCAAAAGGUCCUAAUCAAUGCUGGCAGUCAAAGACCAAAAGCUAUAGCAUUAAAAGGGACAGACUAGCAAGUGGAACCUCCCAUUACAGAAAGAAGAGGUGAAGUUAGAACUGCCCUUUUAUCCUUACACCUAGAUGAAAUGUCCAUCUAUGAACUCAACUCCCAAGAUAGUAACGUGGGAAUCGGAUUAUAAGAUGGGCUGCUCCAAUUUCAAGGACAGAAGGCUGCUGUGCCCAUGCAAGCCUCUGAUUCUGUGGGCUUGGGUUUAUUUAUUUAUUUAUUUAUUUUUUGGGUUAGUUCGGCCACCAAGCUCAAGUUUUGCUAUUAGGAUUUUCAAAUUUAAAAUGCCAAUGAUAGGUCUCAACCCUUUUCUUCUUUUCUAGGCCCUGGCAAAGAGCAAUCACAGACCACAUGUUCCCAUGAUCAUUUCAGGGUUGUGUGUAAUUUUGGAUACACUCCGUUCUCUCCUGGGAGAAACAUAUUAGAACUUAGGAGGGAACAGUAAUGGUGUUGUCACGUCCAACUCUUUGCGACCCCUUGGACUGCAGCCCGCCAGGCUCCUCUGUCCAUGCAAUUUCCCAGGCAAGAAUACUGGAGUGGGUUGCUAUUUCCUUCUCCAGGGGAAUCUUCCUGACCCAGGCAUCGAACCUAUGUCUUCUGCACCGGGGCAACCUAGAAAAGAAUCACGGGGUCUGAGAAGAGGAUUACCGAAGAGUCAAAUAUCUACUGAGGAAAGUUGACCAGAGAUAAGAACUAACAAAAGGCCUUUGAGCCAAGAGCUCUUUCACUGACCUGGUUUCCUGUCAGUUAACUUUUUGCCAAGAAGGGGGAGAAUGACAAGAACUUAGGAGGUAUUUUUCUUAAUGGGAUUGACUGGGAUGGGAAUCAAGACAUUGGUUGGAGAGGUACCUAUGUCUACCUUCCCUUCUCUCCUCAGUUUUCUGAAUGACUGAAAAUAAACCACUUUACAUUCUCUCAGAUGUUCAGAUUUCCAGCCGGAGUCCUCAAGAACUAUUCAAGAGGACUAGGAAAACAUUGAACGGAUAUAAUGGUAAUCCUCAAAGCUAUUGGGCAAUAUCAGGACCAGAUGAGACUGUGUCUAAUAAAAGUUGAAUAAGUAGGAAAAGUGGAAUUUCCUUACAAAUCAUUAAAAAAAAAAAUGGAAAAAGAGUGCAACAUGUGAAAGGAAGGUGAGAUAUAAUACAUGGUAAAGUAGAGCUUACUUCAGGGAAUUGCAAACAGGCUAAAUUUCCUCCAUCUUCUCGGAGGAAUUUGAGUACUGGUGAAUGGAUAGGCGAGCUGGCAUACUGAAGAAGGACACUGAAGGGAAGAAGACGAUCAGUUUUGAAAUGAAAACGGCUUUAGAAGCAGAAUCAACAUUGAAAGAAGAUCAGAGUUAUGGAGGGUAGUAGGCAUGAGAAAAACCACACAGAAGGCAGUGGAAAAAUAGAAGGCAAUGAAAGAAAUUAACUUGGAGCUCAUAGAAGUGGAGACCCAACACAGGGCUGAUGAAAAUCUAGAAUGAGCUGUUUUUAAAGCUUAAAAAGAUACUUCUAUAUGUAUAACAUGUUGUGAAAAUAUAAAGCAAUGGGUGGAAAUAAUGACUCUUAAUUUGAAAGAGUGACUACCUCGAGGGAUUGGGAGAUGGAACCUGAACUGUACACAGGGUGAUGGCGCUGGUCAUGUCUUAUCUUUCAGAUACAACACAUCUGACACUCAUUCAAAAAUAACCAGACAUACAAGGCAUCAAGAGAGUGUAAUGGAAAAUCAAAAGAAACAGCAGUUGGUGUAAGGAGCCCACCAGGUUGAGAUAGCUAGGUGCUGAAUUAGAGAUUCUGGAAGACACAUGGGGUUUAAAGCUGAUGGAGAGUUUGUCUUCUAUACUUGCCUAUCAAGCUAGACUCAAAGUAAGUGCUAUAAUGCAAUAUUCUCCUCCCCACUCACUGCAUUUGCACAAAAUCAGGGUCUUAAGUGCCAACUCAAGACAGUCACUAACUUUCCACACAGAACUUUUACCUGGUUAUGGGAAAAAUUAGAAAUGGACUUUUGAGGUUCUCAAAGUACUUUUAGGAAGACAUUAAUGGACAGCCCCUUAAGAUUGUAAUUAAUUCUGC
ensembl:lncRNA